ACCUCGAUGGUGUAAUGGCAGCACACGCUCUCGCCAAGGAUGAAGCGCGAGUUCAACUCCCAUUUGAGGUC